UGCUUGUUACAUUUAAACAUAAAUGAAAUGUAUGUUUUGUGGUUAAUUGGUAUUUGUAUGGAAAGGAUUGUCUGAUGCUGAAUUCUUUUGAUUUUUCAAGUCUUAUUGGAAAUUGGAUAUUGCUUUUGAGGAAAGUACAUUUUGUCAUCAUGUUUUUUGUUAUGGGGUUUGAACAUUAAAGGGUUUUGAGGUUGGGAUAACUAAUGCAUUGUAAGUAUAGAGCUUUUGCUUGGGUUCAUUGGAAAACAAUUUCAUUUUAUGUACAUAGAGAGAUUUGAAAGAACAUCUGAAUUACAUCAGCUCUUUUCUUGAUACUUUUUUAUGAAUCCGAUAUCACGUGUUUCAUUUACUUUUUUAUAAAAUCAUUAAGGUUAAGUGAAAAAAUUACAAACCAAAUGAAAGUAAGAGGAAAACACGAAUAACAAAACAAAAGAAUCUUCUUAGGGAUAAAGUUAUGCUGCAUUCAUGUUCACCAUAGUGUAUAUAGAUUGCACAUUGUCAUGCAAAAAUUAGCCCAUUCUCUUUUAUCCAAUGCAUCAAAUAUUUUCACCAUAAAGUUUCAACGGACUUUGGUGACAACACCCAGGAUUUGCCAAAAAUGCCAAACAAAAGAGUUCCAAAGAGAAACAGAAGCCGAAAAGUUUAAGAAUAGAUGAGAAACUGGUUCUGAGCAACCCUGGUGCAUAACAUGGACGCACCACAGUGCCCCAUACCAUAUGAAAGAAGGCGAAAGCGAAAGCGGGCUGCUGUUGCAACACUCUAUGAUGAAAUCAGGCAACGAGAGCGGACUCUGUUCUCUGAAGUUGUGUUUGCGAGUUGGUUUUUGGAGGGUUCUGGAGGACUAAGUCUAUAUUUUGAUAUAUAUUUAAUAUUUGAAAAAAUUAAAAGAACAACAUGGUAUAAUAUGCUCAUGUAUCAUGUUGUUCGUUCAAUAUUUUUAAAACACCAAAUAUAAUAGUACCCCAAAGCCUUCGUCUCUAAAAUCCAACUCACAAACACACCUUAAUGGACACUGCGUCAUUUUCCCCCACCCUCCAUGGAGGAGGAGUACCAUGUAGUUAGGAAGAUAAUUGAUGCCUCAACCAUACUUGAGAUAUCUAUCCUCUCUGGUGAUGAGUCAUUCGGUAGUAUUAUUUCUUUGGGGUGGAUAAGAAAGUGUCAAGAGACGAACUCUUUCAAAGGAAUGUUCUAUAUUUGAAAUAAUUUGGGAGUGGAUAAAAUAUUUGCACGAAAACACCCCAGAAGGCUCAAAAUGUCCAGCUUCUUUUGUAAGAGAUAGGAGACUGAUGAACAGUCUAGUAGCCCUAAAAAAGACCAAGAGCUAUAUCAUUGAGUUAUGGAGAAAGUUAAAAUUCCAUGAGACCAUAUACCUCAUAUUAAGGCUUCUCUUAUUAUCAUAAUAUAUAAUAAUUUAUUUAUUUUUAA